rnacentral:rRNA from 1 species
UACGAAGGGGGCUAGCGUUGCUCGGAAUCACUGGGCGUAAAGCGCACGUAGGCGGAUUGCUAAGUCAGGGGUGAAAUCCUGGAGCUCAACUCCAGAACUGCCUUUGAUACUGGCAACCUUGAGUCCGGGAGAGGUGAGUGGAACUGCGAGUGUAGAGGUGAAAUUCGUAGAUAUUCGCAAGAACACCAGUGGCGAAGGCGGCUCACUGGUCCGGUACUGACGCUGAGGUGCGAAAAGCGUGGGGGAGCAAACAGGG